rnacentral:rRNA from 1 species
AACCUCGGAACUGCCUGUGAUACGGGGUGGCUUGAGUCCGGAAGAGGUGAGUGGAAUUCCGAGUGUAGAGGUGAAAUUCGUAGAUAUUCGGAGGAACACCAGUGGCGAAGGCGGCUCACUGGUCCGGUACUGACGCUGAGGUGCGAAAGCGUGGGGAGCAAACA